rnacentral:siRNA from 1 species
GUGGGGAACAAUGUGUGCUUACA